GAUGAACGCUGGCGGCGUGCUUAACACAUGCAAGUCGAACGAAGCAUUUAGGACAGAUUACUUCGGUUUGAAGUUCUUUAUGACUGAGUGGCGGACGGGUGAGUAACGCGUGGGUAACCUGCCUUGUACUGGGGGAUAGCAGCUGGAAACGGCUGGUAAUACCGCAUAAGCGCACAAUGUUGCAUGACAUGGUGUGAAAAACUCCGGUGGUAUAAGAUGGACCCGCGUCCGAUUAGCUAGUUGGUGAGAUAACAGCCCACCAAGGCGACGAUCAGUAGCCGACCUGAGAGGGUGACCGGCCACAUUGGGACUGAGACACGGCCCAGACUCCUACGGGAGGCAGCAGUGGGGAAUAUUGCACAAUGGAGGAAACUCUGAUGCAGCGACGCCGCGUGAGUGAAGAAGUAAUUCGUUAUGUAAAGCUCUAUCAGCAGGGAAGAUAGUGACGGUACCUGACGAAGAAGCGCCGGCUAAAUACGUG
rnacentral:rRNA from 1 species